rnacentral:lncRNA from 1 species
GAGUGUAUGUGUAAGAGAGAGAGAGAAAGAGAGGGAGUGAGAGAACGCGGAGUUUUGUUCACUUUCAUCCCCCGGUUGGCAGCAGGACCGUGCGCCUCUCUCUCUCUGUCUCCCCGCUCUCUGUGAGUCUUUCGCCGCAUGGAUUUUUGAUCUCGCCCGCUGCUCUCCUGGAGGGUCUCUCUCCGGCUCGGUUCACAUGGGACUUGUUGUUCCUGUUUUUUUCUGGAACAAAAGCCGCUCUCCGUGCCCCAUGUUCGGCUCCAGGGCUCCGUAGCUGAGGGCUCUUCGCCAUGGCCGAGCCGGGAGCAGUUUCCGACGCUUUGGCGGCUCCGCUGCUCGAGUUUAGCGCCGAGGCUGCGUCUCCCGGCCGGGAUGCGGCUCGGCGGGGCUUCCCGGGCCACGGCGCCGAGGGGCUCUUCUCCAACGGCGGCUGCAGGGAGCUCAGCAGCCCUGCGGUGGGCAGCCGGGGUCGAGACGCGUCCGCCGAAAGGAACCAGCCUAGCGGGAACCCACCCUGCGGGAUUAUGAAGGCACAAAGACAAUACAAUGGCUAAAAAGGACAGUGACCACAACAUCUGAGCUUCUACAGUGACACAGUUGUUUUUGACACAAACAUGUUGUUGAC